rnacentral:tRNA from 1 species
GGAAAUGUGCCUGAAAAAUAAGGAACUCCUUGAUAGGGAGAGCUAUAGGGACUCAACCCCCUCAUUUCC